CUCGUAGGCGGCCAACUAAGUCAUACGUGAAAUCCCUCAGCUUAACUGGGGAACUGCGUGUGAUACUGGAUGGCUUGGAUUUGGGAGAGGGAUGCGGAAUUCCAGGUGUAGCAGUGAAAUGCGUAGAUAUCAAGAGGAACACCAGUGGCGAAGGCGAGUCCCUGGACAACACCUGACACUGAGGCACGAAAGCUAGGGGAGCAAACA
rnacentral:rRNA from 1 species